UUAAGGCUGGUGUGUUAAAACUGGUUGUUAGACCCAUGUGUUAAGAUACAUGGGUCUAACAACCAAUUUUAACACACCAGCCUUA